rnacentral:lncRNA from 1 species
UCCAUUCGGUCCUCCUUUUGUUAACGCUCUGGCAUCAUGUCUACGCCAGCUCCCGCGCAAUCCGGCGCCAUCGCGCUUUGGGCGAGCAUGGCCAUGGGGAGUAGAGAGGUGGAAACCGAGCUGACGCCUGCCUGACCCUGGCGAUGGUGGCGCGCGCCGGGAAGGACUGAUUGGAGAAUGGCGCCAAAUGGGUCACGGAUGGCGAGGGGGCACAGGAGCUCUCGAUGUGACCUGGCGCUGUGGAUGUGAUGCACAGCAGCUUGAGUGGGACUGCUCCGCUGUCCUCAUGAGAGAACGCUUUUUCUGAAGAUGGGAGGUGGCUAAUGAAAGAAGGUGAGGUCUCUCGGGCCCUUGCUGUCUCCAGUGCGAUGGGAACUGCACGGGAAUUGUGUUCUCGGUGAUGCCUGGAAGAGAUGCGUGACGUUGGAAGAUGAUUACGAAAUACAGGAAAGGAAUGAAAUCAAAGGAUGUUUUUUGUAAGAGUAACACUUACAGAAAUAUUCAUUAAUUUGAAGAUUUAUAUAAGGCCUGGUGACCUCCGUUAAUUCCUGGGACCCACAGUGUGGAAGAAGAGACCUGACUCCUGAAAGUUGUCUUCUGACCACAUAUACACAAUAUGUAAAUAAAUGUAAUUAAAAAAUCAAAAUAGUAAAACUGAAA